rnacentral:rRNA from 1 species
ACAGCAGUCGCCACGGUAAUACGUAGGUGGCAAGCGUUGUCCGGAAUUAUUGGGCGUAAAGGGCUCGCAGGCGGUUUCUUAAGUCUGAUGUGAAAGCCCCCGGCUCAACCGGGGAGGGUCAUUGGAAACUGGGAAACUUGAGUGCAGAAGAGGAGAGCGGAAUUCCACGUGUAACGGUGAAAUGCGUAGAGAUGUGGAGGAACACCAGUGGCGAAGGCGGCUCUCUGGACUGUAACUGACGCUGAGGCGCGAAAGCGUGGGGAGCAAACAGGAUUAGAUACCCCGGUAGUCCCUGUCUCUUAUAC